rnacentral:lncRNA from 1 species
AGGCCUGCUGAAAAUGACUGAGUAUAAACUUGUGGUAGUUGGAGCUGGUGGCGUAGGCAAGAGUGCCUUGACGAUACAGCUAAUUCAGAAUCACUUUGUGGAUGAAUAUGAUCCUACGAUAGAGAGAACAAAUUAAAAGAGUAAAGGACUCUGAAGAUGUGCCUAUGGUCCUAGUAGGGAAUAAGUGUGACUUGCCUUCUAGAACAGUAGACACGAAACAGGCUCAGGAGUUAGCAAGGAGUUAUGGGAUUCCAUUCAUUGAGACCUCAGCGAAGACAAGACAGGGUGUUGACGAUGCCUUCUAUACAUUAGUCCGAGAAAUUCGAAAACAUAAAGAAAAGAUGAGCAAAGAUGGGAAAAAGAAGAAGAAGAAGUCAAGGACAAGGUGUAUAGUCAUGUGAAUAGUUUGUACUCUUUCUUAAGGCACACUUAAGUAAAGUGUGAUUUUUGUACAUUACACUAAAUUAUUAGCAUUUGUUUUAGCAUUACCUAAUCUUUUUUUUUCUGUUCGUGCAAACUGUCAGCUUUUAUCUUAAAUGCUUAUUUUAAAAGGACAGUGGAAACCUUCUUUUCUCUAAGUGCCAGUAUUCCCUGGGUUUUGGACUUAAACUAGCAAUGCCUGUGGAAGAGACUAAAGACCUGAGACUCUGUCUUGGGGUUUGGUGCAUGCAGUUGAUUCCUUGCUAGUUCUCUACCAACUGUGAACAUUGGUGUGAACCAGAAUAAUGAAGCUUUUGAACCAUCCCUACUCUGUGUUCCACGUAGUCAUCAAAUGGAUUCAUUAGUAAUUACAGCUUCACUUGAGACCUUGUGGUUGGUUCUCCUAAGACUAAGGGAUUAUGGAUUUAUGGGCUUCCCUUUGAUUCACUUCCAGCAUGUCCUAGAAUUUAUCAUCCUUCAUAAGUGUAGUUAGACUGUUCAUAAAGGCUUUCUCUAGCUUUCCACUGCUAGUAAUCUUGCUCACUCCCCCAAAUAGUAUAUUUUUUCUAGAAAAGGGGAAAAAAUGAAAAAAAAAAAAAAAGCAAUGGGAAAUGUUGAAAUCCAUUCAGUUUCCAUGUUAGCUAAGUUACUGUAAGAUUCCUAUAAUAGCUUUUCCUGGUAAGGCAGACCCAGUAUGAAAUAGUAACCAUUUGGGCUAUAUUUACAUGCUACUAAAUUUUUGUAAUAACUCAAACUGUAACAUAUAUAAACAGUUCUCAUAAGAAUUAAGUACAAUUCCCCUUUGUCAGAUUGUUCUAUCCUAACUUUCAAGUCUUAUUUGAAUUGUGUUGUUGAAAGUAGUCUUAAUGGUUGUGAAGCUGAAGAUGAUUUGAGACAGUUGUAGCUUAGUGGAUGUUAAGGAGACCAGAGUUGCAGGGUUGGGCCUUACAUGAACAUGUAAUGAAAAUGUAAUGUGUAUCUGUUACAUGUGAUGAAUGCUACUGGUUUUGUAGCGCUGCUGCAUUCAGUGUUGGCCAUGCAUUGUUUGGUACCUGGGGGAUGAGGGAAGAGAGUUUGAUGGCUUAGUACAAUGCAUUCUCACCAUGUAACAGUCCUACUGACAAAUCAAGAAAGUUCUUUUGUUUAUAAUAAUAAUAAUAAAAAACAAUUUAAAAUACAUUUCGAUGUUCGCUUCAAGGUUGAGAUUUUGGGGUAGGAGACUACAAGCAGAGUAAAUCUUUAAAACAACGAAGUGAGAAAGUUUGAAAAUGCAAGUUUUCAAUGCAAGUUUGACUAGUCUCUGAAUUCUAGAUGAACAAACAUUUCCUAAGUACUUCCCAAAUCUGAUAGGUGUUUAAAAUUAUCCUAUGCUUUAAGAAUAGAUAACAGGAAAAAGAAUCUCUUGAAUGCACUUAAAGCAUUCCUUCAAGUAAUUUGAAAUGAGAUGGAAAUAUCACUGGACUAUGAGGACUGGAUAUCUGUUUUUAGAAGUCUGAUUUUAAGCAAAUCACUGUCUGCUUAGUGUUGAAUCAUCUCAAAGAACUAACUUCACAGCUGUGUGACAUAGUCAGUUUACAUGCUGACACACCAGUUCUCAAGCUCAGCACGGUCUGUAACUGUUUUACAUGGAUUAAUACCUUCACUGACAGUCUUAGGCAAAUUGUGCAAGAGGUACAAUGUAUAUUCCAGUAUCCAUUCUCCAAUUUCAGGACUCCCUCCAACAUUAUACUGGCUUUCAGCCUGUUUCCCAUGUCCAUGACUUAGCGUAGUUUUAAUAAUUUCCCCCUCACUUUAAACUUUGUUCUGCUAUGGACAAUUUCAUGAACUCUUCAGAUCGGUGCAUCAAAGCUGCCCUGUGGCGUUCUUCCCUAGGACUUAAAAUAACAGGCACUGUAGUGGGAUUUGAGUUAAUAGCUGGUUUUCAGGGCCACUCCAGCAGUUCAGUCUCGGUCCUUUGGACAUCAUUCCUGCUGCCCAGUCCACAGUGCCUCAGUAGGAAUAUUAAACUUUAGUGUGAACACACAGAACACAGUCCAGUGGAAGGGGAGCUCAAUCUUCAUCUGGCCAUCAUCCUGGUGAUAGUCUAUUGUUUUAAUAAAUACAGUCUAACAGUGAAAAAUACUUCAAAGUUUGUAUCAUGAAGCUCUCUUUUUUUUAAAACUAGAAUUUAUUUUACUCAGCAUUCAGUGCUUUUCAUAUUCUGGGCAUUAGACUAGGCACUGGGGUGGGGGUGUGGUAUCCCAAAGAAGGGACACAAACCUUGGCCAGUGGUAUGUAGCAUGAUCUAUACUACUACUAAGUAAGGCCUAUGGCAUGACUUAGAAAUAAUGAAAUACAUGAUUUUAAUUCUGCGGAGAGGGUUUGGGUUCCUACAAUUUUCCCCAGUUCAGUAAGAAUUUUUGCUGUGAGUCCAAUGCAACUUUUUAAUCAACCUUCUUUAUUAAUUAUUAAUUAUUUCCUUUUUCUAAAGGAACAGAAAUUCCCUAAUCUACUUUUUUGAAAUGUUCUAAACUGUACGUGUUCAUAGAACAUUCUUUGGGUGGACUUUAAAUCUUAUAAUGCAGUUAGUAUAUACCUCUCAUUUCUAUAGAGAGGAACAUGGGUCCUUCAAGAGCUGCAGUGUGUACUCAGAUAGGUUCAGUGUUUCUGGGCAAUGUGGUAAAGUAGUGGUAAUUAUCACUAUGUAAAUUCUGAAUUGUGUCACACUUUGGUUAACUGAAGGGUUUUGUAGAGUUUUUUGUUUGUUUUUUUUUUGUUGUUGUUGUUGUUGUUGUUGCUGUUUUUUAUUAAAAGGGAAAGAAGCCUAGAAACAAUCAUGUUACCUAAUUACUGCAGCCUUAAAGUCCUUGUUGAAGUUGAAAACCAAUGCUAAGUUACAGUCAUAGGCAUUAACAUGUUUGUGGGAAGACUAUAGCAGGCAAAUACAAUUUGAGUAAAUAUUUUCAUUAGGGAAUUCUAGGCUCUACUGACUGAGUCACACUGCAUAGGAAUUUAGAUCCUAACUUUUAUAGGUUAUCAAGACCUUUGCCACCAUUGCACAAUUUCGUCCUAACAUACAUACAAGUUCUGUGAGGCAUGUCAGGAACAGUUUGCACAAAUUCAUCUCAUUUUUAUCCCACUAAAUUUUUCCUUUUUCCCAAACAAUAAUAUAUACAUAUAUGUGUGCGUACAUAUAGCAUAUAUACGUGUGUAUACAUAUAUAUGUGUGUGUAUACAAAUAUGUGUGUGUAUACAUAUAUAUGAAGGGAUUUUUUUGUAGGCAAUAAAAAUUUAACUGAUUUCCAUUUGUUGAAAGUAGUGAUUUCUUGAUAAUUGUGUAGUCAUUUUUUUAAAACCCCAAAGUUAUUUAAAGGUGAAUUUAUACUUAAGAACUUCUGUGUAAUACUGCGUAGCAUGAAUUCUGCAUUGAAAAAUUGAACAGAUAUACCCAAUAGCUGUAAAUUGUCAAAACAUGAAAACUUAUUUCUAAAGAAGUACAUUAGUUUUCAAAGAAUAGUUAUUUAGAUUCAGAUUUGUGGUUUAGUUCAAUAGUUUGAAGUGCCUGUUUGGGAUGGUGGUAGGCAUUUUAGAUGAAUCUGGGAAAAAUGAAGUUCUGCAGAAAUGCCAGUUUCAGACUCAACUCCAGCCAGCUGAGUGGGCUAUGUGCUGUUUUAUCUCCUGGUCCCCCAAUUCCACUGUCUCAUGUCUUCAAUGUUGAAAACACGUCUGCAUUUUUAUUUGAGUGCCAAUUUCUUACUAGUGCUAUUUCUUAAUGUAACAUGUUUACCUGGAAUGUAUUUUAACUAUUUUUGUAUAGUGUAAACUGAAACAUGCACAUUUUGUACAUUGUGCUUUCCUUCCUUCCUUCCUUUUCUUUCUUGUUUUGUUUGUUUGUUUGUUUGUUUGUUUGUUUGGGACAUAUGCAGUGUGAUCCAGUUGUUUUCCAUCCUUUGGUUGCUCUGACCUAGGGAAUGUUGGUCAUAUCAAACAUUAAACUUAAAAGUGACCACUCUUAAUUAAAAUUAACUUUUAAAUGUUUAUAGGAGUACGUGCUGUGAAGUGAUCUGAAAUUUGUAAUAUUUUUGUCAUGAACCGUACUGCUCCUAAUCAUUGUAAUGUAAUAAAAAUAGUUAUGGUGACUAUGAA